UCCUUUCUAUGGUAAACUAUAUUCUGACU
rnacentral:piRNA from 1 species